rnacentral:misc_RNA from 1 species
AAGUCGUAACAAGGUUUCCGUAGGUGAACCUGCGGAAGGAUCAUUAGUGAUAUAGAAAAUCUAUUUUCUAGUCUCUAUAUACACCCUUUUGUCAACUUAUACCUUUGUCGCUUCCACUGGACAGAUGGAUACGCCUAGUUGCGAGUCCAUCCUCUGGCCUCUUUACCGAGGACGGGGAGUGCCAGUGGAAAGAAUACAAUUAAAACUUUGUCUUUAGAAAACUUGUCUGACAAUUAUAUUUUUUAAUAAAAUAAAACUUUCAACAACGGAUCUCUAGGCUCUU